rnacentral:rRNA from 1 species
CAGCAGCCGCGGUAAUACGGAGAGAGCUAGCGUUGUUCGGAAUUACUGGGCGUAAAGCGCACGUAGGCGGCUUUGUAAGUUAGAGGUGAAAGCCUGGGGCUCAACUCCAGAAUUGCCUUUAAGACUGCAUCGCUUGAAUCAUGGAGGGGCGGGUGGAAUUCCGAGUGUAGAGGUGAAAUUCGUAGAUAUUCGGAAGAACACCAGUGGCGAAGGCGGCCCGCUGGACAUGUAUUGACGCUGAGGUGCGAAAGCGUGGGGAGCAAACAGGAUUAGAUACCCGCGUAGUCCCUGUCUCUUAUAC